rnacentral:rRNA from 1 species
CCUACGGGUGGCAGCAGUGAGGAAUAUUGGUCAAUGGACGAGAGUCUGAACCAGCCAAGUAGCGUGCAGGAUGACUGCCCUAUGGGUUGUAAACUUCUUUUAUACGGGAAUAAAACUAGUUACGCUUACUGUCUUGCAUGUACCCUCUGAAUAAGGAUCGGCUAACUCCGUGCCAGCAGCCGCGGUAAUACGGAGGAUCCGAGCGUUAUCCGGAUUUAUUGGGUUUAAAGGGAGCGUAGGUGGGUUGUCAAGUGAGUUGUGAAAGUGUGCGGCUCAACCGUAAAAUGGCAGUUGAAACUGGCGGUCUUGAGUACAGGAGAGGUAGGCGGAAUUCGUUGUGUAGCGGUGAAAUGCUGAGAUAUCACGAAGAACCCCGAUUGCGAAGGCAGCUUACUGAACUGUAACUGACAUUGAUGCUCGAAAGUGUGGGUAUCAAACAGGAUUAGAUACCCUUGUAGUC